rnacentral:rRNA from 1 species
UACGUAGGGGGCAAGCGUUGUCCGGAAUCAUUGGGCGUAAAGCGCGUGUAGGCGGUCCGGUAAGUCCGCUGUGAAAGUCGGGGGCUCAACCCUCGGAUGCCGGUGGAUACUGUCGGGCUUGAGUACGGAAGAGGCGAGUGGAAUUCCUGGUGUAGCGGUGGAAUGCGCAGAUAUCAGGAGGAACACCUAUAGCGAAGGCAGCUUGCUGGGACGUUACUGACGCUAAGGCGCGAAAGCGUGGGGAGCGAACAGG